UACGUAGGGUGCGAGCGUUAAUCGGAAUUACUGGGCGUAAAGCGUGCGCAGGCGGUUCGUUGUGUCGGCGGUGAAAGCCCGGGCUUAACCUGGGAAUGGCCGUUGAAACUGGCGAACUGGAGUGUGGCAGAGGGGGUGGAAUUCCGCGUGGUAGCAGUGAAAUGCGUAGAGAUCCGGAGGAACACCAAAGGCGAAGGCAGUGUCCUGGGGAGUACCUGACGCUCAGGUGCGAAAGCCAGGGGAGCGAACAGG
rnacentral:rRNA from 1 species